CUGAUUCCUGUUUUCUUUUUCUGAGCUGAUAAGAUGGUGUAGCUGUGUCAGUGCAUUUAAAAUAGCUGGGUAAACUUCUACUUGGUUGGAUAAAGCAUUUAAAAACACAAGUUCUUGUGUGCAAGUGAACUCUAAGAAGUCCAGAUCCAGAGGCAUGCGUCCGAGAAUAUGCUCCAAACGAGAACAAAGUCUCACAUAAAGAUGAUUUAACAGUAGUUCCUAGAACAGAGAAAAACAAAGUUAUAUAAUGCAAACCACCAAUGGGAAAAAUGACUUAACCUGACUGAAAGACUAGACUGCCUCAUUAGACAUUUCUUUUAGAACAAAUUAAGAGGAGGUUACACAUACUAAACAGGAAACGGUUGAAAAAUGGGCUGUAUUUAUCUAUCAUUGCACAAUAACUCUUGAUAUAGCUGUGAAAGAAUGGUCGGUUAUGAACAGAGCAGUCUAGGGCAGUUCAUUUCAAGCUAUUCGCUCACAGUUGUAACUACUUUGCACAGUUUAAAACCUUUCAAGAUCAGGAGUAAUUUAAAAUGAAUCAAACCAGGACAUUAACUUGAGCAGAAAACACACAUAAUAAACAAAGUGUUACCUAGACUAAUUCAGUUUGCUAGGUGACCAGUUUCUUUACACUGCUCUGUAGGGUUGCCGCCCGUCCCUUAAAAUACGGAAACGUCCUUUAUUUGACAAUUAAUUGUUGCGUCCCGUAUUGAAUCAAUACGGGACGCAAGUUGUUCCGUAUUUUCGUAAAUGCCCCGUACACGUCUGUCACACACUCAUCAAAACUGCAUAAUAAAUAAAAUAAAACACAGGAAAUAUUAAGGGCAGCCAAUUUCAUCUUCGUAGGACCCAUGUAGCGAGGACCCGAUGCCAGGUCCAGUGGACAGACUUCAGACGUCUCUGUGUGUCCGGUCCUGUCCGGUCCUGUCUCUGGUUGCCUGGUUACAGACGCUGCUGCACCCGCACGUUUAAAAAUGUCUACACCUGAAACUCCACCACGUCUAAAGAAGAAAAAACGUUUGCAAAUGUACAGACUGGAGUGGGAAGAGUGGAACCCCUGGCAAUGGAUACAAGGCAAACUGUGUUUUCUGUUGCUCAUGGACUGGCUGAAGUAAGGCAGCAUCAGGAGACCAACGUGUAAGAAACAUGAGAACAGAGAGAACCCAACCAGCAGGUCACAGUUUAUCAUCAUCUAAUCAUCUCCUGAAGUCGAUAUGGUCCCUCUCUAUCUCCCCACACAUCCACCAACCACUGGAACACAUCUCCAAAGUUCUGCAGGGCCAGCUCAGCUUCCCCUCAGAAGAAGUGCUGCCACCUGCCAGAUGAAGGAGCCUUUUGAGAGGCAGCUGGCAUCGUGAUUGGACUGUACUUUGGUCUGUUCCAAUCCAGCUUCAGCUCCAGAGACGGCAGGCGGGACGAGUCAACGGAGGCCGGGUGGACGAAGGCAUGCAGCUGAGUACAAUCCAGAAAACAACAGAGGAGGAGUGCAGCGGUCCAGGGCCAGAACAAGCAGAGUAUCAUGACCAAAGAACUACAGACUCUUCACAACCUGCUCAAACUCUUGGUACAGGACCUCACCACACGGGUCAAGAAGGUUUCCAUCUCAUUUCUACUCUGAAGCUCACCUUCUCCUGCUCAAACUGCUGACAAAUGUUUCUGCUGCUCUAAAGUCUGCUCUCCAGAACUUCCUAAAAACUCUCAAAGUCUCUUCUGCUGCAGGUUGCUUUGUAGAACUGUUCCAGAAAACCUCACUAAACCACAUGGAGGGGCCUCAAGAUAGUCGUCCAAAUGAAACCAUACAAAAACCAAACUAACACAACUCAAAUGCUAAAGUCUCCUGCAGCCUACCAGACAACCUCUGAGAACAGAGAAUCAGGACAGGAACUCUUACCUUCUGGACAACCAACAUUGGUUCACAAACAAGAAUACAGAAUGUGUCUGACCAAAAACCUCUAAAGACUCACAACAGCCAAGAUAAAGACCACAACUCAGCUGCACCAAAUCCACUAAUCACUGCACACAUUAGCACCAUGUGCUAACUGUGGAUAAAGAACCACAUUUACCAAGACAACUAUCCAGUACAAAGCCCUAAAACACACCAAGAAACACAUUAAAGAUGAUUUUACUGCUGGAAGCUGCAAGCCAACGCCUAAAGAAAAAACUAAAGCAACAGAGCCAAACCCAGUUCAGUGGUGAAGCAGAGGAAAUGUUUGGUUGCAGCUAAAUAAAGCAGGAAGACACUGAGCUGCUCAGGUGUUCCUAAUAACACCUAGCAGCCACCUGGACAGCCAAUAGGAACACAGCUUCCUGGAAGUCCAGAGGGCUGGGUUAGUGAAGGAAAUUUAGUUUAAAGUUGAAGCAGAAAGUUAACAAAGAAAGUUGAAAACCACCUUCUGAUACCUGAAAUCUCUGAGUUUUCACACAAAGAACACCUGAACAUGUCAAACUGGCUUCAUAGUAGAACCAUCAUUGUAAAAACGUCAUAGUAUGGUGUGUUGCUCAAAAAACAUUAGGACCCGGCUGUCAGGGGACAAACAUGUAAGAAACAUGAGAACAGAGAGAACCCAACCAGUAGGUCACAGUUUAUCAUCCCCCAGUCAUCUCCUGAAGUCCAUAUGGUGAGAGACAUCAGUAUCUGGUUGUUAAUUUACCAGAGGAUGCUUAUAAUCAUGCUGAUGUGGUGUGUACUCUACACUAUUUUAGUGACUCAAUAAAUGCCUAAGUCAACCUACCCGGCCAGCAGGCAGAUGGGUCCCCCCACAUUAGAGCCGGGUUCUGCUCGAGGUUUUUUUCCCUGUUAAAAGGGUGUUUUCAUUGCCACUGUCGCCUUUUGGCUUGCUCUGGGGGUCAGGCAUAUUGGUUCUGUAAAGCGUCUCGAGACAAUUUGACUGUAAUUGGUGCUAUAUAAAUAAAAUUGAAUUGUUUUAUUUAAAAUGCUUUUUAGUUUUUAAUAAACAUUUAACAGCAUAUAUGUAAUCAAUAAAUGGCCUUUGUCUAUCUUAAGAAAAAUUCA